AACGAACGCUGGCGGCGGGCCUCAUACAUGCAAGUCGAGCGCGAAAGUCCGCAAGGAUGAGUAAAGCGGCGCACGGGUGAGUAACACGUGGAUAAUCUACCCUUUGGAUUGGAAUAACCUGUCGAAAGACGGGCUAAUGCCGAGUAAGCCUUUGAGAGCGUGAAGCUUUUAAAGGGAAAGAUGGCGCAAGCUAUCGCCGAUGGAUGAGUCUGCGUCCCAUUAGUUAGUUGGUGGGGUAAUGGCUUACCAA
rnacentral:rRNA from 1 species